CGGCCUCUCCUUUACUCCACCCCUCCACAAGCGUCACCCUGACAGUCAGAGCCCACCUGUCAAUCUGCUGCUCUAAUUGUUCACUGGGAUGGCUUUCAUUUCAACGCCUCUCCGCACAUAAUAGGCUACUACAGGAGAAGCGCGUCCUGUUCGUGAACGUGCAAGUGGCCGAUUUGUAAACUUGCACUCAAACAAAUGAAUGAGAGGUGCCUCAAAAAGUUGACGUGCAGCCUGUGUGUGUGAGAGAGAGAGAGAGACAUUUCUACAAUCAAAAUCAGAUUUGGUGUAGUCACUGCUGCUAUUUCACAGCCAGUUAAGAUAUAGUAGGCCUAUUAGGUGAGGACUGCAUCAUAUUUUCCAUCGACAAUACAAAUCCUGCCUUUUUAAUUUGCAAAAAAAUAUACAAAUAAAAGGUCCACAUAUAUUUGCUAAAAUCACCAAUAAACCUUAUAGACUUUGUUGAUGGACACGAGGAUAAUCUUUGCUACAACUAAGCACAGUGAAAUAACGCCUGACUGAUUAUUGGGAUUAUACCCUGAAACACCAAUCACUAAUAAUUCAUGUGAAACUGUUUAAACUGUGAAAACACAAUUCCCUCAGGCAAAUAAAGUAAGAAAAUCCGUAGUUUCACUCAGACAGUUUAAGUGUGCACUGCAGAUCAGCUCUUAGCUUUGCUCCAAAGUUUGCUAAAAUGUGGAGCUUUUCGGUGACCUCUUUAGCGGGACAAAGGAGGCUGCAGAUCGAUUCGUUACACCUUUUUAGCGAGGCUUGUGGUUAAGGGGAGGGGCUCUGAAUCCACAAGAGGCUCCAUUAAUAGCCUACACUCCAUCCUAACUAUUAUCCACCAUAAAGUGUUUAUAAAGGGCACACAAGUAGGCUAAUGUUAUCUCAAAAUGAGACAGCAUGAUUUAUCAGUUUACUACUGGAGAGGAUAGUGAAGAAGAUAGAAGAGAAACAAGCCUAAAGUUUGUUUUUAUUACUGAGUGAUAGAAUCACAGCAUAACUCGGAUGGCACAAGAGCUGGCUCCGUUUAGACUGGAUGCGCUCUUCUUCCGUUUGCGGCCAGCCGUACGACUUUAGGACGUCAUCCACCCAGUUACACCCGCUCCAGUCCGGGUUACGACCGAAGGUUUGGACCGGAUCAUUUACAAGAAACUGGAUUACAACUUUCUGCAACACGUCCUGGUUUAACUGAUUCUGGUCUGAAGUGAUCAUGAACAAAGAGAAGCUCUUUAUAAGAUCUACUGGAUGAUCAUAUUGCAAAAGAGAUCUGCAGGUUGUCAAAUGAGAAAAGCUGAACUCCAAGUCUUCC